GGUCAAGCGAACAAGUGCAUGUGGUGGAUGCCUUGGCGAUCACAGGCGAUGAAGGACGCGGUAGCCUGCGAAAAGCUACGGGGAGCUGGCAAACGAGCUUUGAUCCGUAGAUGUCCGAAUGGGGAAACCCGGCCCUUUUGGGUCAUCCUGGACUGAAUACAUAGGUCCAGUGAAGCGAACGCGGUGAACUGAAACAUCUAAGUAACCGCAGGAAAAGAAAUCAACCGAGAUUCCCAAAGUAGUGGCGAGCGAAAUGGGAUGAGCCUUGCACUCUUUAUUUGUAUUGUUAGCCGAACGCUCUGGAAAGUGCGGCCAUAGCAGGUGAUAGCCCUGUAGGCGAAAACAGUAUGAAAGAACUAGGUGUGCGACAAGUAGGGCGGGACACGUGAAAUCCUGUCUGAAGAUGGGGGGACCAUCCUCCAAGGCUAAAUACUCGUGAUCGACCGAUAGUGAACCAGUACCGUGAGGGAAAGGCGAAAAGAACCCCGGGAGGGGAGUGAAAUAGAUCCUGAAACCGCAUGCAUACAAACAGUCGGAGCCUCGUAAGGGGUGACGGCGUACCUUUUGUAUAAUGGGUCAGCGACUUACGUUCAGUAGCAAGCUUAACCGUAUAGGGCAGGCGUAGCGAAAGCGAGUCCGAAUAGGGCGUUCAGUUGCUGGGCGUAGACCCGAAACCAAGUGAUCUAUCCAUGGCCAGGAUGAAGGUGCGGUAACACGUACUGGAGGUCCGAACCCACUAACGUUGAAAAGUUAGGGGAUGAGCUGUGGAUAGGGGUGAAAGGCUAAACAAACUUGGAAAUAGCUGGUUCUCUCCGAAAACUAUUUAGGUAGUGCCUCGUGUCUCACCUUCGGGGGUAGAGCACUGUCAUGGUGGGGGGGUCUAUUGCAGAUUCCCCCGCCAUAGCAAACUCCGAAUACCGAAGAGUGCAAUCACGGGAGACAGACAUCGGGUGCUAACGUCCGGUGUCAAGAGGGAAACAACCCAGACCGCCAGCUAAGGUCCCCAAAUAUAGCUAAGUGGGAAACGAAGUGGGAAGGCUAAAACAGUCAGGAGGUUGGCUUAGAAGCAGCCACCCUUUAAAGAAAGCGUAAUAGCUCACUGAUCGAGUCGUCCUGCGCGGAAGAUGUAACGGGGCUAAGCUAUAUACCGAAGCUGCGGAUGCGUGCUUUGCACGCAUGGUAGGAGAGCGUUCCGUAAGCCUGCGAAGGUGCGUUGAAAAGCGUGCUGGAGGUAUCGGAAGUGCGAAUGCUGACAUGAGUAGCGAUAAAGGGGGUGAAAGGCCCCCUCGCCGUAAGCCCAAGGUUUCCUACGCAACGUUCAUCGGCGUAGGGUGAGUCGGCCCCUAAGGCGAGGCAGAAAUGCGUAGCUGAUGGGAAGCAGGUCAAUAUUCCUGCACCAUUGUUAGAUGCGAUGGGGGGGGACGGAUCGCGGAAGGUUGUCCGGGUGUUGGAAGUCCCGGUCGCUGCAUUGGAGAAGGCGCUUAGGCAAAUCCGGGCGCGUAAUUCAAGGGUGCGGCGCGAGCUCCUUAGGGAGCGAAGCAAUUGGAAGUGGUUCCAAGAAAAGCCUCUAAGCUUCAGUCUAACGAUGACCGUACCGCAAACCGACACAGGUGGGCGAGAUGAGUAUUCUAAGGCGCUUGAGAGAACUCGGGAGAAGGAACUCGGCAAAUUGGUACCGUAACUUCGGGAUAAGGUACGCCCUUGUAGCUUGACUGGCCUGCGCCAGGAGGGUGAAGGGGUUGCAAUAAACUGGUGGCUGCGACUGUUUAAUAAAAACACAGCACUCUGCAAACACGAAAGUGGACGUAUAGGGUGUGACGCCUGCCCGGUGCCGGAAGAUUAAAUGAUGGGGUGCAAGCUCUUGAUUGAAGUCCCGGUAAACGGCGGCCGUAACUAUAACGGUCCUAAGGUAGCGAAAUUCCUUGUCGGGUAAGUUCCGACCUGCACGAAUGGCGUAACGAUGGCCACACUGUCUCCUCCCGAGACUCAGCGAAGUUGAAGUGUUUGUGAUGAUGCAAUCUACCCGCGGCUAGACGGAAAGACCCCAUGAACCUUUACUGUAGCUUUGCAUUGGACUUUGAACCGAUCUGUGUAGGAUAGGUGGGAGGCUAUGAAACCGGAACGCUAGUUUCGGUGGAGCCGUCCUUGAAAUACCACCGGUUUGUUUGAGGUUCUAACCUUGGCCCGUGAUCCGGGUCGGGGACAGUGCAUGGUAGGCAGUUUGACUGGGGCGGUCUCCUCCCAAAGCGUAACGGAGGAGUACGAAGGUACGCUAGGUACGGUCGGAAAUCGUGCUGAUAGUGCAAUGGCAUAAGCGUGCUUAACUGCGAGACCGACAAGUCGAGCAGGUGCGAAAGCAGGUCAUAGUGAUCCGGUGGUUCUGUAUGGAAGGGCCAUCGCUCAACGGAUAAAAGGUACUCUGGGGAUAACAGGCUGAUACCGCCCAAGAGUUCAUAUCGACGGCGGUGUUUGGCACCUCGAUGUCGGCUCAUCUCAUCCUGGGGCUGUAGCCGGUCCCAAGGGUAUGGCUGUUCGCCAUUUAAAGAGGUACGUGAGCUGGGUUUAAAACGUCGUGAGACAGUUUGGUCCCUAUCUGCCGUGGGCGUUGGAUAUUUGAAGGGGGCUGCUCCUAGUACGAGAGGACCGGAGUGGACGAACCUCUGGUGUACCGGUUGUCACGCCAGUGGCAUCGCCGGGUAGCUAUGUUCGGAAGAGAUAACCGCUGAAAGCAUCUAAGCGGGAAACUCGCCUUAAGAUGAGAUAUCCCUGGGGACUAGAUCCCCUUGAAGGGUCGUUCGAGACCAGGACGUUGAUAGGUCAGGUGUGUAAGCGCAGUAAUGCGUUCAGCUAACUGAUACUAAUUGCCCGUAAGGCUUGAUCCU
rnacentral:rRNA from 1 species